AUCCUUCCAAAAUAUUUCAGGAACUGGGGUUUUCCAGCAGGAGUGAUGCAGGAGUACGGAAUCAGAUGCCCACAAAGUGCAGAGACAUGUUUCUGAGUGUUACCGGGAGCCAGCCAGGCAGAGCUGCAGCGUGGGAGCCCUGCCUCAGAACGGGACACUCCACCACCGAUCAGGAGACUGGCUUCUGCCCAUCUGCUCUUUAAGCCUGUGUCUCAGAUGGUGUGAAAUAGGGAUCACCCUGAGAGAAAGCUGUCACUGCAAGAUUCCGGGAUACACUGCCCUCAUUUUUAUAAAUGCACGCAAUUAGCUAUGACUUUUAAAUUGGCACCAUGGUGAACAAGCAUGUCUCAAGCAUACAUGCCAAGUAUGACAAGCCGUUUUUCAAUGGCUUCAACUUCCUCAGCUCCAACACCUUGGAUCUCACUCCAACUCAGCAUCUACUAUUAUGUUCUGUGUCUCCAUUAGAUUAGAUCUGCAGGAGGUUAAUGAGAAGCACAGCACAUAAUUCACACGAAUAGGCUUUGAAACCUAAGUGUGAUGAAAAGUAUGAUUAUUACUGUUAUGCAAAGUCCUCGCAGCAAAAGUUACAUUAUCCUUUUUCCAGAUAUAUUGUGAACCUAUUGCUGCGCUAGAGUUCGGAUCUAGGCUUUCUUAAAACUCCAUUUGUGAUGCCUGCACUUACUUCAUAAACUUCCUUGGGUAUGAAAACACUUAAGUUUUCUUUUCUCCCCAAUGCCCCAGGCAGCUGACAGGUGGAUAAUGACAUCAACAGGCAGGUGGCCAUCAAAGACUCAGGGUAGGUGUGUUUUUGUGAGACCCCAGGUGGUUGAUUUCUGUAUGAUACCUCUCCAUAAAUGUGAAUUUCCUAUUCUUUAUGUCUUAAUCUUAAUAAAUCA
rnacentral:lncRNA from 1 species